GGGAGAUUACAAGCCCAUUUAGACAUUUAACCAAACUAACCAUUUUUGUUAAUUGAAAAUACCAAAAACUUCAAAAGUACCUCAAUCUACUACUACUGCAGUGGAAUAGUAAUAUAAUGUAUGAGUAUGAACAGUUUCCCCUACAAUAAAUUUAUACUGCAUUAUUUUGGUUAAAAUUCACUUAUUGCCUAAAAACUACCAAUAAAAUUUCUAAUUGAACUACUAAUUAAAUGUUUAAACUUCAAAUGUAUUCAAAAAAUUUUGAGAAAUCUAUAAAUAUGUUUUCUUGCUAGAUAUUUUGCAUGAAUCUUCC
rnacentral:misc_RNA from 1 species